GUCUAUUGUGAGUUACACAAUGCAGCAUUUAGCUCGCUCGUAAACAUCGCUUAUGUCCUCAGGUCACUGUCUGAGCAGAAGUUUCAUCAUUAGCCCUGACUGUCAGAUGCUCUUCAUCUCAGGAGCUGUAUUUUUAAAUGCUUGAUAACAGAUAUAAGCGAGAAGAGGCUGAAUCCGAAGCCUGAGAAGAAGCAGAGAAACAGAGGAUCGAACGAGAGAAACACUUCCAGAAAGAGGAGCUGGAACACUAGGAAAGAAAGAAGCGUCUGCAAGAAAUCAUGAAGAGGACUUGUAAGAGUGACGCAGGAGCACAGUAAUAUAGAAAAAUCCAUCAGAAGCUCUUCAUAGUG
rnacentral:lncRNA from 1 species